rnacentral:rRNA from 1 species
AUUGAACGCUGGCGGCAUGCCUUACACAUGCAAGUCGAACGGCAGCAUGAUCUAGCUUGCUAGAUUGAUGGCGAGUGGCGCACGGGUGAGUAAUACAUCGGAACGUGCCCUGUAGUGGGGGAUAACUAGUCGAAAGAUUAGCUAAUACCGCAUACGACCUGAGGGUGAAAGUGGGGGACCGCAAGGCCUCAUGCUAUAUGAUCGGCCGAUGUCUGAUUAGCUAGUUUGUUAGGUAAAGGCUCACCAAGGCGACGAUCAGUAGCUGGUCUGAGAGGACGAUCAGCCACACUGGGACUGAGACACGGCCCAGACUCCUACGGGAGGCAGCAGUGGGGAAUUUUGGACAAUGGGCGAAAGCCUGAUCCAGCAAUGCCGCGUGUGUGAAGAAGGCCUUCGGGUUGUAAAGCACUUUUGUCCGGAAAGAAAUGGCUCUGGUUAAUACCUGGGGUCGAUGACGGUACCGGAAGAAUAAGGACCGGCUAACUACGUG